rnacentral:rRNA from 1 species
AUGGUUCAUGUUUGGUACAUAAAACAGUUUGUUUGUCGGGUAUUCGGAUUCAACAUACAAGGAGCUCUUUUGUUUUUUGCCACUGGUUCAAGCUACCUUCUCCUUUCCACCAUCAGCAAAAUGUACUUAUUUAUCUUGCUUCUGUUCCUUCAACACCCUGUUCUCUUUUGCCGUCCCGUCUGGGAUUUUUUUUUCAAAGAAACCUUAUUCUCUUACGAGACUGACAAUGAUCUUUUGGGGCCAAAACUAGCGUUGAGACAGUCAAAGCUAGUUGACCUGAUGAAAAUGACAAAAGAAGUUGUAUUUUAA